UACGUAGGGAGCGAGCGUUGUUCGGAGUUACUGGGCGCAAAGGGUGUGUAGGCGGUUGUUUAAGUUUGGUGUGAAAUCUCCCGGCUCAACUGGGAGGGUGCGCCGAAUACUGAAUGACUAGAGUGCGGGAGAGGAAAGUGGAAUUCCUGGUGUAGCGGUGAAAUGCGUAGAUAUCAGGAGGAACACCGGUGGUGUAGACGGCUUUCUGGACCGUAACUGACGCUGAGACACGAAAGCGUGGGGAGCGAACAGG
rnacentral:rRNA from 1 species